rnacentral:rRNA from 1 species
ACGAACGCUGGCGGCAUGCCUAAUACAUGCAAGUCGAACGCCUGGAGCAAUCCAGGAGUGGCGGACGGGUGAGUAACGCGUGGGAACCUGCCCAGCGGUGGGGAACAACCGAGGGAAACUUCGGCUAAUACCGCAUACGCCCUUACGGGGAAAGAUUUAUCGCCGUUGGAGGGGCCCGCGUCCGAUUAGCUAGUUGGUGAGGUAACGGCUCACCAAGGCGACGAUCGGUAACUGGUCUGAGAGGACGACCAGUCACACUGGGACUGAGACACGGCCCAGACUCCUACGGGAGGCAGCAGUAGGGAAUAUUGGACAAUGGGGGAAACCCUGAUCCAGCAAUGCCGCGUGAGUGAUGAAGGCCUUAGGGUUGUAAGGCUCUUUCAGGGGGGAAGAUAAUGACUGUACCCCCAGAAGAAGCCCCGGCUAACUCCGU